rnacentral:misc_RNA from 1 species
AAAAAGGAAAAAUUGGAGUGCGCUGCAAGAGUUUGACCAGUUGGGGAAGGAACUAGAAGAUGGUGGAGUGUUUCAGGGUUGGCAAGAGGGAGAUAUAGAAUUCGCUCCCACAUACAAAUAUUCUUCUUCCAAUUGCAAUCGAUAUUCUGGUGGACUUCCAAGCAGAGCAGGGGAGAAGCAAAGAACUCCAGCAUGGUGUGAUAGAAUCCUAUGGUAUGGAAAGGGAGUGAAACAGCUUUCCUAUUUCCGCAGUGAAAGCAAGUUCUCAGACCAUCGGCCCGUAUCUGCUUUAUUCUCUGUACUAGUUAAAGAUCAAAAGUGUGCCCAUUCAAGUUUGGUUCCGUUUCCUCCUUUCAGUCCCCUCCGAAAUUCCUAGUAAAGAUCUAUAAGGCAAGAGUAAUAUAAAAGCUA